GUCUUUCUCUUCCCGUUAUUAUUUCUUCUUUGUUUCCUGACUUUUCGUUUUGGGAUCGAGAAGCCCGUGGAUACCACUACCGCUGUCGCUGCCGCUAGAGGCCGGCGCAUAGGCCGCUCCGGUCGCGUUAGGAGCGAGGAAGGCGAAGCAGGGAGGGGCGCGGCCAGGCUGCGCGCCGGUUGAGGUUCCCGAAAGUACGAAAAGAAGCCCAACGUAGAUCGUUCGAGUACGAAUGUGGUCCUGCUGAUACGUAACUCGCGGUUUCGACAGGCGCCUCUAGAUCAUGGACGAGACGAGAAAGUUCCGUCCUGAAGAGAGGACAAUGAGUUCUGUACCUUCCGAAGGAAGUGUCAUAACAAUUAUACCCUAAAAAACUGGCAAACUUUAACCGAACCUUCUAUUAGAAGGGUCGUGGUUGGUAUGUACUCUUGUGUUUACGUUCAUAACGUUUCGUCUCCGACUUCUACUAAGAUAAGAGGCUGUCCACGCUCCAGUCACUGCUUCGUUUCUUUUUCUAUCACCUUUUGCAACAACUCCGUGAUAGACUUAAACAGCUCUAACUUAGUGCACUAUUACAUGUUCACCUAUAGAGCUGACUACGACCGGAACCGUGUCACAUAAGACACUGACAAGGUCACGCGGCACACUUCGGACUCAUGGUCCUUAGACUUCUCGUCAUGUCUCCUUUUUAGCAACCACAACUGAAGUUCCUGUGACCUCUUAGCAGACCAUUACAACUACAAUGGAAACUAAAGAUACAAGGCUUACUCUUGGUGACUAAGGAACUGGAUCGCGAGAGACAACACAAGGAAAUAGCGGAGAACUCUGAGGAGUCCUCCACCGUCUGUACACCACGGUCUAAGAACUUUAGUAUAAAAGGUGAACACAACACAAUAAACCAAAUCAAUGUAACACGGUUACCAAAAGAAUCAAUAUAGGUCGACGGGGAAAGAUCACACGUUACAGAGAUCUCCCCAAAAGAGUGCCUCCC
rnacentral:rRNA from 1 species